rnacentral:snoRNA from 1 species
AAGACUAUACUUUCAGGGAUCAUUUCUAUAGUUCGUUACUAGAGAAGUUUCUCUGAAUGUUUAAUGUUGAUUUAUUUUUGAGAGAGAGAGAGAGA